UCCUGAAAAGUUUUUUCAAAGAAACUCUCAGACUUGAACUGGUGCAGCUUUGCAGAGUGGAGCUCUCACUGUACUUCAAAGCAGAGAAAAUCUUGCAGCUGUCUGGAGCUUGCUUGCCCCAGGAGGUGUCACUGUUGGGACUAGCAGGUGCUCAAGCCCACAGAUAACGUGUAAUGGUCCCAGCUUGAAGAGAGACAGUAUUACAAGUUCCUGUGAGUAAAUCUCAGCGUACAGAUGAACUUACAAGAUCCACCCUAAUAUUCCAAGGUUAUGUCCUGCCUGAUGGGCUGUCACAGAAGUGCUAAAACCAUCUCACACAAAGGCACCACGGGACUCCCACCAUCAACAUGAGCUCUCUGCCUGCCUCUGGUGCUAGCUGUCAGAACCGCUUCAUCUGAAAUCAAGGUAAAGAAUCAGCAGCACUAAAUACUACAGGACAAAGGCAUAAACUAGCUUUGUAACCCUGGGCAACCAGGAUGUUUGCUGACUGACAGUGUGAAUGACAGCCCAGUUGUCAGUCUAAAAUAUCAUCCUCUAAUCAUUCCAGAUGUCAUCCGACAAGAUGAUGGCUACUAAAAAGGGGAAUAAUUUGGGAAAAGUCAUAAAGCCCAUUAUCUCCUGCUGAAACCAUUUCUCUUUGCCAUUUCUGAAGUCUCUGGAAAAUAGAUCCAGAAUCCCAUAUGUAAUACGCAACUGGUUUAUUAAGAGAGAGUGGCCACUUAGAUCUGCACCGGGUACCCCAUUACAUGCCUAGGGAAACCUGCCCUCAAGAUACACCACUCCUUCAUGUCUUGGCAGGUGACUCCAAGCUGGCCCUAUAGUGUAACUGAAAUAUUUCACCUGUUCCAAAAUACAACAGGAAGCAAAAGGCUGCAGUAGCAGUCACUCAGACACUGAAUCUAGCAAAUCAGAGAGAGGAUGGAGUUGUUCACAAUGUCAGCAGAGUCCAGUUUCUGGCUAGAAUUCUUAUUAUAUUUUCUCCUAAGUAAAGAAGGAAACAACUGAAGACUUUGUUAAGGCAUUUCCAUUCUUGCUUAAUUCAUUCAACUGCAUUUUAAUUUCAAUAUGAAGAGAGGACUGUAUUCUGAACUUUAUGCUGAAUGAAGGGCUGCACAUAAAGUGAAAAUAACAAAUAAAAGGAGAAAAUCUCUCUUGAAAAUGACAACAAAAUAUCGUGCAGGUGGAGGAGGGGAAGACAGGAAAGGCAGAAGAGUCUGGAUCUUGAGCUUUAUGGGGUUUGCAUUACAAGGUUUUGGUAGCAGGGGGCUAGUGGGGUGGCUUCUGUGAGAAGCUGCCAGAAGCUUCCUGCACGUCCGACAGAGUCAACACUAGUCGGCUCCUUGACAGACACACUGCUGGCCAAGGCCGAGCCCAUCAGCAACGGUGGUAGAACCUCUGGGAUAACGUAUUCAAGAAGAGGAAAAAAAACCCUACACAACUAAAGAAUGUUUGAGAGCAACAACUCUACAGACACCAAGGUCAGUGAAGGAGGGGGGAGGAGGUGCUCCGGGUGCCGGAGCAGAGAUUCCCCUACAG